rfam:Tyto alba contig113250, whole genome shotgun sequence.
UGGCAGUGAUGACUAUCUUAGGACACCUUUGGAAUAACUGUGAAAUACUAAUUCUCUUCUGAGCCAU